rnacentral:rRNA from 1 species
AUUGAACGCUGGCGGCAGGCCUAACACAUGCAAGUCGAGCGGAUGAAGGGAGCUUGCUCCUGGAUUCAGCGGCGGACGGGUGAGUAAUGCCUAGGAAUCUUCCUGGUAGUGGGGGAUAACGUCCGGAAACGGGCGCUAAUACCGCAUACGUCCUGAGGGAGAAAGUGGGGGAUCUUCGGACCUCACGCUAUCAGAUGAGCCUAGGUCGGAUUAGCUAGUUGGUGGGGUAAAGGCCUACCAAGGCGACGAUCCGUAACUGGUAUGAGAGGAUGAUCAGUCACACUGGAACUGAGACACGCUCCAGACUCCUACGGGAGGAAGCAGUGGGGAAUAUUGGACGAUGGGCGAAAGCCUGAUCCAGCCAUGCCGCGUGUGUGAAGAAGGUCUUCGGAUUGUAAAGCACUUUAAGUUGGGAGGAAGGGCAGUAAGUUCAUACCUUGCUGUUUUGACGUUACCAACAGAAUAAGCACCGGCUAACUUCGUG